rnacentral:rRNA from 1 species
ACGCACGCUGGCGGCGUGCUUAACACAUUCAAGUCGAACGGAAAGGCCCUGCUUUUGUGGGGUGCUCGCGUGGCGAACGGGUGAGUAACACGUGAGUAACCUGCCCUUGACUUUGGGAUAACUUCAGGAAACUGGGGCUAAUACCGGAUAGGAGCUCCUGCUGCAUGGUGGGGGUUGGAAAGUUUCGGCGGUUGGGGAUGGACUCGCGGCUUAUCAGCUUGUUGGUGGGGUAGUGGCUUACCAAGGCUUUGACGGGUAGCCGGCCUGAGAGGGUGACCGGCCACAUUGGGACUGAGAUACGGCCCAGACUCCUACGGGAGGCAGCAGUGGGGAAUAUUGCACAAUGGGCGGAAGCCUGAUGCAGCAACGCCGCGUGCGGGAUGACGGCCUUCGGGUUGUAAACCGCUUUCGCCUGUGACGAAGCGUGAGUGACGGUAAUGGGUAAAGAAGCACCGGCUAACUACGUG